rnacentral:lncRNA from 1 species
UCGGCUUCAAGGCUGUUCCGCAAGUCGAUUUACUUACAGACCCUUCUUCAAAUGCGGCGGUCACCUGUGACCCAUUCAUAACUCCCUCAGCCACUAGACGACAAAAGAAGCCCUGAGUUUAGGCUGACUGAGAUUUUCAUUCUAGCUUUGCUAUACAUUUGGGCAAGCUUUACUUUGGGGAAAGGAAAGAAAAAUCAGCAGCUCUCAUCUCCUGGAGGCACAGUGGCUUGUCCUCCACAGUCCCCUCGGUUUGCUGACUGACUGGAGGAGAGAGAGCACCUGCAGAAGCCCUGCGACUCCUCCCCCAGAUAAUUCAUAAAGAAAUGAUGGGGAAAACACAUCAAAGAUAGAGUGAAUAAAGCAAACGUGCCACAUAUACAC